UGCGCCACCAGGUGUCGCGGAGGGGCCGGCUGUGUGGCCUCGGAAAAGUGACAGUGGAGCAGCCGCAGUUUGAGAAGCAAGAGAAACAGGGUGUACAGGGAGCUUUCAGAAGCUAGCUGACAUUAAGAUACUGCAACAGAUUGUGGCUGAAACAGAAUGAGAAUCUAGCUGUCUUCAAUUAAGCAGAAAUUUUCCAAACCCUCCUUAACACAAAUGAAGAGAUUACAAAAGCACACCUGAGUAGCUAGCUGGUUGUUAUAAAAGUUUUAAAGAAAGUCAUUCCCAAUUUCCUUCUCAUAGGUGACCAACUGGGUUCGUACAUCCUUCCAAACCUUUUACUUUGCAUCUCCAUGAAUUGAUACAUGUCUUUUA